AUCCAGGUGACGAGUCUCAAAUAGGACGAAAUGCGCAUCCUGGAU
rnacentral:hammerhead_ribozyme from 1 species